rnacentral:piRNA from 1 species
UGCUGAGCGUUGGCUGCGCUGCG